CACCGCGGUUAUACGAGAGGCCCUAGUUGAUCACCACGGCGUAAAGAGUGGUUAUGGAACUAACAAACUAAAGCCGAAAGCCCCUUAAACUGUCAUACGCACCCAGAGGCCGGAACCCCACUAUACGAAAGUAGCUUUACCAAAGUCCACGCAGAAUCCACGACAGCUGGGACA
rnacentral:rRNA from 1 species